rnacentral:rRNA from 1 species
UACGUAGGUGGCAAGCGUUGUCCGGAAUUAUUGGGCGUAAAGCGCGCGCAGGCGGUCCUUUAAGUCUGAUGUGAAAGCCCACGGCUCAACCGUGGAGGGUCAUUGGAAACUGGGGGACUUGAGUACAGAAGAGGGAAGCGGAAUUCCACGUGUAGCGGUGAAAUGCGUAGAGAUGUGGAGGAACACCAGUGGCGAAGGCGGCUUUCUGGUCUGUAACUGACGCUGAGGCGCGAAAGCGUGGGGAGCAAACAGG